AAUGAAAGGAAAGUAGUCUAAUCCAUAAAUCUAUUGUGAAUGGAUGGUAACUUGUAGUCUUACUAGUUGCAUAGCUUUAUUUUAUAGCAAUCUCAAUCAAACAUGAGAUCUAAGGGGGUUUUUUGCUCGUAUGUUGACCUAGAAGAAGUUUUUUUCCAACUACAUUGUCUAGUAGCGCUCUUUGGCAGUUGAGCUCGAAGCUUGUGGUGAUACUCACAAAAGACUCAUCACUGGUGAGAGACCUUUAGCGCACAAGUACCGUGAGGGAAAGAUGAAAAGAACUUUGGAGAGAGAGUUAAAUAGUAUGCAAACAUGUUGAUAGUAAGCGGAUCAAUCUAAUGAACAUUUUUCUGAAGCAAUGACAUCUAAUGUAUACUCUGAAUGACGAUAUACAUUAUAUACUUCGGGCUAGUCAGGGUGAGGUAUAUAUGCUUUUAUGUAUUUUGAUCUGACCCGUCUAGAAACACGGACCAAGGAGUCUAGUAUUGAUGCAAGUAUAUAAAAAUUAAACGUUCUUUUACAAAGGUAACUCAGAUCGUGUGCAUCAUGUCAUGAUGAUCGUAUCGCGGGCAGUGUUUUUAUUUAGCACGA
rnacentral:rRNA from 1 species